UAUGCAUCAGCUUUAACACAUACCUAAUUAGCAUGGUGCUGCUUAGCAUCCCUUAUUCAUUUCCAUCUUUCAACAAUUAUAUCUCGCAACGCCGAAGCCAAAGUCAAAGCCAGAGACGAUAUGUUAAAAUUGGUAUCCGAUGUGGGAUAGCAGAGCCAUCAGGGGAACCAGCACCAUUAGGACAGAAAACAAAGUACAAUGAUGGAUUGUUUGAGAAGGCAUUCAUGACUCUAUUCGCACGCAAGAUGGAGAAUUUUGGAGCUAAUAAAAAAGAGUCUGAUCAAAAGAAGAAAGGCUUUUUUGAUUAUGAUUACGAUAGUUUUGUGGAUGUUUCGCGCAAAGUGAUGCAGGGGAGGUCACGGUUGCAGCAGCAGCAAGUGGUUCGUCAAGUCCUCAUGUCUAUGCUUCCUCCUGGAGCUCCAGCUCAGUUUAGGAAAUUGUUUCCACCAACACAGUGGGCAGCAGAAUUCAACGCCGCAAUUACUGUGCCUUUCUUCUUCUGGUUAGUUGGUCCUUCCGAGGUUGUCGAAGUGGAGGUAGAUGGGGUGAAGCAGAAAAGUGGAGUUCACAUAAAAAAGUGCAGGUAUUUAGAGAACAGUGGAUGUGUAGGAAUGUGUGUGAAUAUGUGCAAAAUACCAACACAAGAUUUCUUCACAAACGAAUUCGGACUUCCCUUAACAAUGAAUCCAAAUUUUGAGGACAUGAGUUGUGAAAUGAUAUACGGACAAGUACCACCGCCAUUUGAAGAAGAUCCUGUCUCCAAACAACCUUGUUAUGCGAAUAUAUGCACCAUUGCGAAUCCCAGCUCAAAUGUCUGUCCAAAACUCAGCGCGAAUUAGGUGGUGAUCAGUUUGGUUGAUUAUGUAACCACUUCAAUAUACAAUCCAUACGAUCGAGAAUAUAUAUAUGUUAUACAUUAUGUAACUUUUGUAA
rnacentral:misc_RNA from 1 species